AGCCCUGAUGCUGUCAUUGCAACAUCAUUUAAAAAGCUGGACGCUGUCGUUGAGACAUCAUUUAGAAAGUCAGAUAAUUUCUUUGCCACAUCGUUUAAAAAGUUGGAUACUUGCUGUGAGAUAGUGGUUUGAAAGCUGGAUACUUUCUUUGAGACAUCGUUUGGAAUGCUGGAUACUUUCUUUGAGACAUCGUUUGGAGUGCCAGACACUUUGAUGUACUGAGGAGAAGGCCGGAAAGCAGGUUGCAUUGAAAAGCAUCUUCGGGUGCAUCUGGUUGUGGCCGCUGGUGUUGGAAGCGCUGUAGUGGGCUUAAUGGUUACUUCCUUUGA